CCAAUAGCGUAUAUUAAAGUUGUUGCAGUUAAAAAGCUCGUAGUUGAAUUUCGGGAUCAAGGAAUCGGUCAUGCCUUGGUAUGUACUGGUUUUACUGGUUCUCACCUUCUAAAGAACCAUAAUGUCAUUUAUUUGAUGUUAUGGGAAAUUAGGACUGUUACCUUGAAAAAAUUAGAGUGUUUAAAGCAAGCUUACGCUUGAAUACAUUAGCAUGGAAUAAUGAAAUAGGACAUCAGAUUCUAUUUUGUUGGUUUCUAGGAUCGAUGUAAUGAUUAAUAGGGAUAGUUGGGGGCAUUAGUAUUCAAUUGUCAGAGGUGAAAUUCUUGGAUUUAUUGAAGACUAACUACUGCGAAAGCAUUUGCCAAGGAUGUUUUCAUUAAUCAAGAACGAAAGUUAGGGGAUCGAAGACGAUCAGAUACCGUCGUAGUCUUAACCAUAAACUAUGCCGACUAGGGAUCGGAUGAUGUUAAUUUUUUAAUGACUCAUUCGGCGCCUUACG
rnacentral:rRNA from 1 species